AGUUUUGUUCACAGGCAAAUACAAAGUUGAAGAAUAAAUGCAAAGAAUGAUUUCUGAUUGUCACUGGGAUGGAAAAUGGAUGCUUAGAUUCUCACCCUGUGAAUUUUUUUUUUUUUUUUCUGAAAAUGCACCAAUCCUAUGUUGUGUCCAACCAAGGAUAGAAUUGGGGCUAGGCCAACUUAUUUGGCUUGAAACUAAUAUUUGGGCUGAGUUGAAGCUUAUUUUCUUUUUCUCAGAGUUUUUCUCUCCCCACCCCCAUUUUCCAAUUAGCCUGGUCCAUAUGCCUUUCUACCAAAUAGCCUCCGUUUGCUACUUACUAUAUUCAUAGUUUCAUAUUGUGAAUUAUAUCUCUUAAUUUGAAUGUGCCCUAAAGCUCAGCAAAGAAGUGAAAAUGAUAAACAUCAAUGUAGAUAUACUUCUAAAAAAUGGUGAAUUCAACUGGAGAAACAGAAGAAAGAAAGAAGACCAUUAAUGGAAAUAGAAAGAAUUGAUAUGAGAAAACCAGGGUUUUAGGAAUCUGUUAUAUUUAUGGAAAAUGAGUUUUGAGGUAAAGGAGAAAGAAUAGAGAUAAUAAACAUUUCCCAAUAUUAGUACAUUUGGGGAGAUCAUCAUUUGCUGCUUCUGUUGAUAUGCAUAUAAAUAGAAUUUGUUUAUCCACAUAGACUGUUAGCUUCUUAAGGGUAUAGAAAGUGUUUUACUAUAAAAAUAAAGGAUCGGCCAGGUGCAGUGGCUCAUGCCUGUAAUCCCAGCACUUUGGGAGGUCAAGGCAGUUGGAUCACCUGAGGUCAGGAGGUCAAGACCAGCCUGGCCAACAUGGGAAAAACCAGUCUCUACUAAAAAAUACAAAAAUUAGCCGGGCAUGGUGGUGAGCACCUGUAAUCCCAGCUACUCAGGAGGCUGAGGCAGGAGAAUCGCUUGAGCCUGGGAGGCAGAGGUUGCGGUGAGCCGAGAUCGUGCCAUUGCACUCCAGCCUGGGCAACAGAGCGAGAGUCCGUCUCAAAAUAAUAAUAACAAUAAUAAUAAAAAUAAAGGAUCAUUUGUUCUCAGUGACCACCAGGCCUCGUGCCAAGAAGCUUAAUACCUCUGAUUAGGACAGAAGAGAUCCAGAAGGUGUCAAUGUUCAGAAGGAGUCAAUGUUUAUAGAAAAGUUCCUUCCAGGCAUUCCCCCCAGGGACCUCCUCUGCAUCCUCUGUGCAACUACACACACACCCUUCUUGCAGCAAAAAUUGUCCCCACGAGCCCCUUUCCUGGACACAAUGUCUUUCGUCCUCUCUCUCGGAGGAGGGUUUUCCCACCUUUGCUCCUGGUCUCUGAAAAAUGCACACAAACCUUGAUAUUUGGAGAGUGGGUUAUGCUAUGGUAGGCAAAUGACAUGAGCCAGCACUGGAAACCAGUUGAAGGCCCAACAGCAUUUCCACAAAGGAAGCAUGAGGGAUAGUGAUUAUAUGUCAAGAGUAUCGUGAGUUCCAAGCUCAGCAGAAAGUGGUCACAGCUGUCUGCCCUCCUGAGGGGUAGUGGGUGCCAGGCCUGUGUACCUCAAGUGGGCAUGGUGCAGUCAGUCCAUUAACCCUUGGACUGAUCAAAGUGAAAGAAGAGUUUCUGGAGAACAUACAAGGAGGUCAUGGAAAAAAAAUCUCCAGGGUGUAGACUGCCACUACAGAGAAAGAAAACCUAAAUUAAGAGAAUGGGUUAUAGAGACAUCAUAUACCCAUGGGAGAAAGAUACAAAACCUCUGCUCGGGAUACAUUUGUUUCCUGCACCCUAGCUUCCUUACGCUGCCUCCUUGCCAUUCCUCCAGGCAUACGCCUCUCCCAUACUACAGCAAGUAGGAGGGUUGAGGAGUGAGGAGUGAACAAACAGAACAAGAAGUCUGUCCAACCUUUGAUGACCUGUUAUGGGCGGAACUGUAUCUCCCCCAAAAUUCGUAUGUUUCAAACUCAACCCCUACCACCUCAGAAUGUGACUGUAUUUGGAGACAGGGCCUUUAAAGAGGUAACCAAGGUGAAACAAGCUCAUAUGGCUCCAAUCCAAUAGGACUGUAUCCUUAUUGGAAGAGAUCAAGACACAGAUAUACAUAGAGAGAUGACCAUGGAAGGACACAGGUGGAAGGCAAUUAUCUGCAAGCAAAGGAGAGAGGCCUCAAAAGAAACCAAACCUGUCAACACCUUGAUCUUGGUAUUCUAGUCUUGAGAAUGGGGAGAGAACACAUUUCUGUUCUUUAAGCCUCCCAGUCUGUAGUAUUUUGUUAUGGCAGCCGGAGCAGAUAAUAUACAACCGUAACCCUCCCCCAGCCGUUCACACACCGUACACUCCAUCCGUGCUUAAUUACAGUUCCUUGAGCUCACCAUGCGGUCUCCUCCUCUAAACACUUGUGCAGGCUGUUCCUUCUGCUUGGAAUGUCCUUCCUUCCCCCUUUCUUCAGGGGGCUUACACCUACUAGUAUCUUAAGAUCCAGCUAGUGUCACCGCCUCCAGGAAGUCCUCAGAGAAUACCCUCUCACUAACUGCCUCCUGACUCCCUCCCACCUGCUUCCCCUCUCCGCCUGAGCCAGCCUCUGCACACCCUAGCAUGGAUCCCACUGUGGAGAGCUCUCACUGUGCUUCUCCCUCAUUAGCCUUUGGUCAGUGUCUUUCAUUUCUAUAUUUUUGCCUCCUAAAAGAGCCAAGCCCAGAGUGGUCAGUAACUAUGAGGGAGAGAACAAACAAGUGAGGACACAAGAAGAAGAAACCCUUCAUCACUGGAGCUGCCCAACAGAAAAAAGGACUAAGAGGAACAAUUGGCUCUAAAGAUGACGCUGGUUAUUUUCAUUCUCUGGGAAUCCUCGCACUGUGCAGUCCCGCAGGGAGGGAGCAUAGACGACUAAUGACAUGGCCAGGGAACGGGGGAGUGGAGGAGAGGAAACCUGCCGUUUUAUUUUGUGUCUGAAUGUUGUUUUGGUGGCAUAUCUGAAUCUCAGAAUGAAAGCUGAGAUACUGAGCUUGUGGAUCAUAAUGGUUGCCUGGAUUUCCCCCUCCUAACUGCCUUUACCCAACAAAAAUCCAGAGGCUCACAGGACAUAAAAGGCUGAAAACCCAGGAUCCUGACUAUGGAUGGUCAGUUUCUCAGGGAAAUUACUCCUCACACAGGACAGAUGGGAUGACCAAGGAAGAGGAGUUCCUACUUCCUCCAUAGGAAAAAGAGAGGAAGGUUCUGCAGAGGGGAUGCUGGCUGGUUCCCCAACCAAAUAGCCUGACAGUCACCUCCUGGCUGCCUGAGGAUGGCAUUCUCACCUUGCUGAAUCUAUCUGUGCAAUUGCAACUCCCAGAAAGGCGCAGUGGGCCUCCGUGAAAUGCAUGGGUGGUUGCAGAGUAUGCCCUGGGAUGUAAAAUAAUGUAAGUGCGAAUAAGGAUGGGAAACUUUUAAAAAAUUAUCUACUGCUGGGUGACAACCCACCACAGAACUUAGUGGUUUAAAACAAUACGUACUUUGCUCAAGAAAUCUGCAGUCAGGACAGGGCUUAGGAGGGAGAGCUGGACUCUACUGUCAGCUGGGAUCAUCUCAUUUGGCACCUGGCACCUGGUCUACAAAGACAAACAGCUGCGGGUGAGAAUAGCUGGGCCUCUUUGGGUAUCUGUUUGCGGGCUCUCACCCUGAUCUCUCCAGCAUGACAGCCUCAGGGCAGCCAGACUUAAUGCAUGCAGGCUCCCGGCUCCCAGUGUACCUGCCUCAGAGAGGGAGCCCUGUGACUUUUAUGACCUAGCCUCAGAAGUCAGCCAUGUUAGUUCUGCUGCAGCCUGUUCAUGGAAGCAGCUACAAAGUUCCAUCUGUACUCAAGACGGGAGAACAUAGACUUCAUCUCCUGGUGAAGGAUGUUUGAUGUCACUUUGUUAGAAGAACCAAGGAAUGAGGUAUAUAUUUGCUGUGGCUACCUUUGAAAAAUACAAUCUGCCAGAUACAUUGAGAGCUCUGUGUCUUGGAAUCGGAGUUUCCCCUGCACUGUUUCAGGCCACAAAAAGACUAUGGAAUGUUUCAAAGUAUUUAGUAAUGAAUUCACCUUUUAUUUACAAAGAAACAGGGAAGCAAGAGAAAUUCAUGUCAUAGUGUAACAGUACACAUUGCUAGCUAGACACCAUAGCUUCCUCUUCAGUUAAACAUUUAAGAGGAAGAUUCUGGCAGAUCCAGAGUACAAACAAUUUGGACAGCUAUAUCCUUGUUGGAGAGGGAGUAAGUGCAUAUGCGCUGGGGGAUGGUAUAAAGAUACAUUGAGUCUAUGAAAAAUAUUCCGUAACAUGUAACAGGAGACUCGCUAGACCAAUGAGGCAGAGAAAAAGCAUGCCUGUUUAAGGGAAAGCUGACUGCAUAAAACAGAAAAAAGAUUUAAUCCUGCUUUUUUUGUGUUCUUAAUACUAGGCAGUAUGUACUUUCUGAAGUAAGAAUGAAAUUGAUGAAAAAGGUGACACUUGAGAUUCUGAGAUUGAAAAGGAAACUGACAUGUAAGAAUUGAAUUCAGGUAAACUAAAAAUAAAAUUGUGGAAUCAAACUUCAAUUCUGAUGCAGUGAAGACCAGAAUUGAAAUCACAAAAAGCCAAAUAAAUAAUGUAGAAAACAAGGUAGAGAAUUUUUCUAUCAAUGCAGAGAAAAGAAACAAAAAAUGAUGACAGAAAAGAUAGGUAAGUUGGUCCAUCAAAAACAAAGACUUACUCUAUGGACAAGAAGGACCCAAGGGAAAUAUAACCAGAACAAAUGACGUUGCUUUACCAUGGAGAAAAACGGAAUAAAAACUUGAGCUAGAAAAAAGAAAUGUACAACUUAAAAUACUGCACCAUGUUCCGGGCAAAAGUAAAGAUGUACACAGACAUAAUCUAGCAAAUUUGUUCAAAUGGAAAAGAUUUUAAAAUAUUCUACAAACAUCCAGACAAAACAAAUGUUACUUAUGAUAAAAAAUGAGAAUAGGCUGAAUUAAGGGUACAGCACAAGACUAGAUGCUACAUGAGAAAUGAGUAAAGUCUAAAUGGUACUAGAAAGUGCUUAUGACUCAAGCUGAAAUGUUAAUUUGCAAAGAAAACAAAAAGAGAUUCUUAGAUAUUCUAGUCAAGGGUUCAAAAAAGAUACCACCCAUGCAUUUUCUUGAAAACAUUAAAGAUACGUUCCAGUGAAACAACAUGUUAAAGACAAAAACUCAAUAGCAAAAAUGAGUUCAAAAGAAUUGUGAUAACCCCAGCUUAACAUACUAAAUUAAGUUUAAAAAAGUUGUAAAUAAAGUACAGUUGGAAAUUUUUCUUGAGAUAGAAUAAAAGUAAUAAAUAUGUCCAUAAUUCUAAAUGAAGUUGGCAAGAAUGGGGGAAAAGGAGUGUAUGUGGGAAAGAAGAGUAUGAAAUUCUUCAUCUUGUAAAGUAAGUCAAAAGUUAUAUCAUUCAUGAAUUUGAUGAUUAGAGAAUGUAUGCAUUCAAGUGUGAUCUUAAAAAAUAAAAUUUGGGCUAGGCACAGUGGCUCACGCCUGUAAUCCUAGCACUUUGGGAAUGCCGAGGUGGGCAGAUCACUUGAGGUCAGGAGUUCAGGACCAGCCUGGCCAACAUGGCGAAAACCUGCCUCUACCAAAAAAUAGAAAAAAAUUAGUUGAUCGUGGUGGCACGCGCCUGUAAUCCCAGCUACUCGGGAGGCUGAGGCAGGAGAAUCAGUCGAACCCAGGAGGCAGAGGUUUCAGUGAACCAAGAUUGCGCCACUACACUCCAGCCUGAGUGACAGAGCAAGACUCCAUCUCAAACAAACAAAAACUGAAUUUGAAGAAUUCAAAGAAAAUACAUACUUAUAGAAAUGGGGAAAAUAAAAACCAAGAAAAAUGUUAAUGCACGUUCAGUAUCCCUUAUCUGAAAUGGUUGGGGCCAGAAGUGUUUUGGAUUUGGGAGAUUUUCAAAUUGGGGAAUAUUUGCAGAGUGUAUACCAGUUGA
rnacentral:lncRNA from 10 species